UUAAAACAUAGGCACUGUCGAGCUGAGGCUGUCGUUUGCGUCGCAUCUCGCUUUACGUGUAUAGACGAUCUCCGUACUAGUCUAUAGUAUGUGCGUCGAAGAAAAGCCUCUCUCUCCCACUGGCUUCCAUGAGCAAGCUUUAAGAGCGACACUUUCCGCUCCCGUGACCGACUGCCGUGUCUGAAAUAGUCACGUUCGGUUUCCUCCUUGUCGCUCUCCACUAGCGCUCGUUUAUGGUUACAUUUGUACCUCUUGUAGACCGUAGCUGCUGGUCUUUUGAGGCUAGCUGGCUAGCAGAGCCUUGACGGACGGAGGAGGCAGGAUCCAGCUGGUCGGACAGCGCAGUAUAGAGCCACACCAACGUUAGCAAAACAAGCUAAUUAGCCUCAAAGGCUCACCGUGGAUUACUGUCCGCAAUCAAACGGCGAUCGAGAGUUUAAGGUUCACGAGUACGAGGCAAAAUGAAGAUAACUGUGGAUUUCGAGGAAUGUUUGAAGGACUCCCCACGGUUCAGAGCGACCAUAGAGGACGUGGAGGGGGAUGUGUGUGAGUUGGAAUCGAAACUCGACAAACUGGUGAAGUUGUGUAUCGGGAUGAUAGAUGCUGGGAAAGCUUACAAUGCUGCCAACAAACAGUUUGUCAACGGGAUCCGGGAGCUUGCCCUGCAAUCUACCAAAGAUGAAGUCAUCGAGUCCAGUCUUUCCAAGUUUGCAGAAAGCCUUCAAGAGAUGAUCAACUAUCAUACGAUACUAUUCGAUCAGGCCCAGAGAUCAAUCAAGACCCAGCUUCAAACAUUUGUAAAAGAUGACCUACGUAAAUUUAAAGAAGCCAAGAAGCAGUUUGACAAGGUGAGUGAAGAAAAGGAUGCAGCGCUGAUCAAAAAUGCCCAGGCUCCCCGCAACAAGCAGCACGAAGUGGAAGAGGCUACCAACAUCCUUACCGCCACGCGCAAGUGCUUCCGACACAUCGUUCUCGACUAUGUUUUGCAGAUUAACGUGCUACAGUCCAAGAGAAGAUCGGAAAUCCUCAAAUCUAUGCUGUCCUUCAUGUAUGCCCACCUGACUUUUUUCCACCAAGGCUAUGACCUCUUCAGUGAGUUACAGCCUCUAAUGAAACAGCUUGGAGGACAGUUGGACCAGUUGGUUGUGGAUGCUGCCAAAGAGAAGCGGGACAUGGAGCAAAAACACUCCACCAUCCAGCAAAAGGUACAGAUUUGUGAGAUGACGGAGUUGGACUCAGACCACCCAAACUUUUGUGCUUGGAGGUCAUCCUCUGACUUCUCUAAUGACGACACCAAGUUGGAAUACAACGUGGAUGCAGAGAACGGCAUCGCCAUGGAGGGUUAUCUUUUUAAGAGGGCCAGCAAUGCCUUCAAGACAUGGAAUCGACGGUGGUUCUCCAUCCAAAACAAUCAGCUGGUUUAUCAGAAGAAAUUCAAGGACAACCCGACGGUGGUCGUGGAAGACCUGAGGCUUUGUACGGUCAAACACUGUGAAGAUUUGGAGCGCCGCUUUUGUUUCGAGGUGGUGUCACCCACAAAGAGCUGCAUGAUGCAAGCAGACUCUGAGAAGUUGCGACAGGCGUGGAUCAAAGCUGUCCAGAACAGCAUCGCCACUGCCUUCCGCGACAAGGGAGAUGACGCUGAGAAGCUGGACAGGAAAUCUUCCACAUCAACGGGGAGCUUAGACUCGGGUGGGGAACCCAAGGAGAAAUCGCUAAAAGGGGAGAGCGCCCUGCAGAAAGUCAUCGCCAUCCCGGGCAACGUUUGUUGCUGUGACUGCGGCCAGCCAGAUCCACGCUGGGCCAGCAUCAAUCUCGGCAUCACCCUUUGCAUCCAAUGCUCUGGAAUUCACAGGAGUCUGGGAGUUCAUUUCUCAAAGGUCCGGUCGCUGACUUUGGAUUCAUGGGAGCCAGAACUGCUUAAGCUAAUGUGUGAACUUGGAAACGGAGUUAUUAACCAAAUAUAUGAGGCUCGGCGAGAGGAACUGGGAGCGAGAAAACCACAGCCAGGAGACCCAAGACAUGAAGUGGAGGCCUACAUCAAAGCCAAGUAUGUGGAUCGCAGGUUCGUGCGCAGGCCAUCUGAUGAGGAGCUUCGGAGCAAGGUGGUGUCCCUCAGCAAACAGGAGAAGAGACUGAGCAGCAGCUCCGAGCACCUGCCCCCUAGACCGCCGCCGCCCACCCCCAAACUGCGACCCGGUUCCAACGCAUCUGGACAGUCAGCUGUUGCCGGUGGCUCGGAGGCCCGGCGGGACUCUCUCUUCUGUCCUGACGAGCUUCAUUCACUCUUCUCCUACUUUGACAACUCCUCCAAGCUCAGGAGCAUCAAAAGCGCCGACAGUGGAAUCCAGCAUAGUGCUGAUGGCAGCAGGGAAAUGCUGGCCACCACCCCCUCUAAUAGUAGUUUGGCCGAUACAGAUGUUGCUGAGCCUCCGCCCAUGCCCAUGCCAGCCACACUGCCGCCGCCAUCACCUUGUAAGGAGACCGUGUUCUACGAGCCCAAGGAGUACAGUUCAGGUCUUCAGCUCUACUGGGCUUCGUGUGCCCGCAGUCUACCUGACAUGGCUGAGGCACUGGCCCACGGAGCCCAAGUCAACUGGGUCAACACCGAAGACGACAAGAAAACACCGCUCAUCAUGGCAGUGCGGGGGGGCUCAUUGGUGACCUGCGAGUUUUUGCUCCAAAACGCGGCCAAUGUAAAUCAGCAGGAUGCUCAAGGUCGAGGACCUCUGCACCACGCCACCAUGCUGGGACGCACAGGGCAAGUGUGUUUAUUCUUGAAGAGAGGAGCCAAUCAAAACGCUGCAGACAUUGAGGAAAAAACUCCGCUGGCCAUCGCGGUGGAAGCAGCUAAUGCAGACAUUGUUACAUUGCUGCGAUUGGCCAAGAUGAACGAGGAGAUGCGCGAGGCGGAGGGCCCCUACAGCCAGACAGGUCAAUAUAACGCCAACAGCCCCACUGAGAUGCAGUACAGGAAGUGUAUGCAGGAGUUUAUCAGUCUGCAGCUGGAUGACACCUAAUGCACAGUACUAGUGUGUCGCAAAAACAGGCUUGGGGUUGUGUGUGUGUGUGUGGAGGGGGGGGGGGGGAUAAAGGGCCUGCUUGGAGGAUAUUUUUCUGAGGAGGCACAUUUUCAGCAGAGUUUUGUGGUCCUCAGAAAUCACUGAAAUCUUUUUUCAGAUUCUUCUUACAAAUGGGAAGCAUUUUGCUUGUUGAGACACUUUCGCUUAAUGGAAAAUAGUCAGAUCCCAACUCCCGUCAGUGACCCGCAGCGCCCCUGGGAAGGUUCAGCGUCGGGGGCAGCGCUGCACUAUUCAGUUUCAACACAGGAUACUCAACAUUGUGUAGAAAAAUAUCCUGGUGGCAACAUAAUGAAAAGCUUCUCUCAAAUAUUACAUGGAGGCUGCACCCUCCCUUUAAAUUCAGGGAUAUCACACUUGCUGAUUUUCCAUGAUUACUCCUUGACAUUUUUCCGCUCCGUCUCUACCCACAAUAUUAGACAAAUUCACCUAAAUCUUUGGGCAAAUAAGUGUCCAGUUUAUAAAGUAGUGCAAUUAUAGUACAGUAUAUACUCGGGCAUUAUUUUUUUAAGUGAGAAUUCCUAUUUGUUUGCUUGCAACUUGUGUCUUUUAAUCUUCCAAUGCUACUUUGUCAUUGAAUGUCCAUACGUGAAGCAUCUUUCUGUCAUGAUGUUGAUAUGCAACAAUCUCUUAUUUUCUUUCCAGGCAAUUCUGUUGUGUGUACGCAUUUCAAACGUGUACAAAAAAUCUUUUAUGCUCGCCGUUGAACAGAAAAAAUCAGAUUUGACUGAUGUUGUUGGACCAAAGUUUCACUGGUAAUGAUGUUAUGAUGGUGUCGAAAGCCCGGAGCGUUUCUUUGUGCUCGUCCGAUGUUAUGGCAGGAAAUGCAGAAUUGUAAGAAAUGACUGUGAUGGUCGCGAUUGUUGUUUUUCAUGCAAAUCAGCAAAGGUAAUUAGCUUUUGAUGGUGGAAAAAAAAGAUGGUGGCAUAAGAGGAGCGGGCUGUAGAAUUGUGUAAAUAGGGACAGAGUUCUAAAGAUGUAACACAUUUUCAUCUGUUGUUGCCGCUCCACGCAGCUCCAAAUAUUUAGAUAGCGCACAAGCACUUUGAUGAAAGGAGCAGUGUGUAGGAUGGUGUAGUGGCCCUCACUCACACACACUCACACACACACACACACACACACACACCCACCCACAUGGGUCUGCUUGUCUCAAUCCUUUUUUUUUUCUUCAUAUGACAGGAAUGGGUGAACACUCGGUUAAGCCUCACAAUCUGUUCAGAGGGGUGGGGGGGGGGGGGGGGUCCUCUGUUGAUGAACUAGCAUAGGUAUCCGUUUUCACUGGGCACAAGACGGCAAACUUGAAUAUUGUUCUCCCUAUAUGGCCUCGAAGUGUCCAUUCACUUUUCUAUCGUGUCUGUCCUCAUUAGGCUUCUAGUUGACUUGACUUGAAAUUGUCUUUUCUUUCAAAUAUUGUACUGUCAUUAAGAAUUAAUGACUGUGUAGGGAUAGCCUGCAGCGCAUUCUAUCUUGAAACCGAGGACCCCCCAACCCCCCUUCACACACUGGCCCUUUAAUUGAUUAUGAUGCUGCAGCGCCCUCUAGUGCUGGACUGUUGAACGCCUUUGCACGCCGCUUAAGCAAUUUGUCACGUUGGGGAGAAUGAGUUUUUGGACCUAUGAAGAGCCAGAAAGCACCUCAUUUCUUGGCGUGGGCUGUUAAAAUGGGGAUGAUAGUGAUGAUUGCUGAUUGCUUGCACAUCUCGGGAGCAGUCGGCAAUCACGGAAAAGGGGAGACCAAAAAGCGAUUUGAUGCCAUUGUCAUAAUUUUCUCAUUCGUUCUUGGCUAGAUGAGGGCCAGCUCAUCAGUCGCCCAAUCAGAUGAUGAAUGACGCUGCUCAUGAGCGACAAGCCGUCUCAUCAAGGUGUUUGUUCACCUACGGCUGCAAUCAACAGAUUUGAACCGAUACGGUUACAACUUCAC